UUCUGGACUAAUUCAUGUGGCUGCAAUUGGAGCUGGAUGAUCUAAAUGGUCUCACUCCUAGGUCUGGCCAUUGAUGUUGGCGGUUGACUGAGCCAGAGGCCACCAGCAGGCUAGCGGGGGCUCUUCACUCAGCAGCAGGGUUCCAAGAGGACAAGCCCAACACACAUGUGCUUUUCAAGCCUGUGAUUAUCAGGGCUGUACUGCAACAAUCUGCCGCAAUCAGUAACGACCACAUAAGAAAGCAAUGACAAGUUAUGAUUACUGCUCUGAAGAGAUUGAGCAGGAUGGUAUAGGAGAGUUACUAUUCCAAGUGACCUCUGGGCCAGCAGCAUUGGCAUCACCUGGGAAUUGUGAGAAAUCCAGCAUCUCAGGCUCCACUGCAGGUCUCCUAAAUCAGAAUCUACAGUUUAACAAGAUCCCCAGCUGUGUGUGUAGGGUUUACAGAGGGAAGAUUCAAGCCUCAACAGGUCAGGUCAGUUGGACAAGGUGACCUUUAAGCCCUCUUCUAGCUUCAUGAAAACAGAUCUGAAAUUUGCCUGAUCUCAGCAAUGGUAGUGAAAAGACUGUGUACCUGAAUGAUCUGGUGGCAGGUUUUAAAAAAUGAAGAAAAACUGGUCUCCCUGUUCUGUAGAAGAACAGCUUUUCAUCUAGAAAGCUGUCCCUCCUUCAUUGUUAAGCCCUUGGGCUUUAAGCAAAGAUGUGAGGUCUGCUUUAAGCAGGAAUGUAUUUGGGGAUCUUUCUCAUUACUCUCGCCUUGACCGUGGACCACCCUGGGCAUUCAGAUCGAUUUGCCACUUGGGGGCCAUAAUUGAAUGAAAGACCAAUCCAGAAAUUAUU